rnacentral:pre_miRNA from 1 species
CAUCUACUCCCUCCGUCCGGAAAUACUUGUCAUCAAAAUGAAUAAAAGGGGAUGUAUCUAGAUGUAUUUUAGUUCUAGAUACAUCCCCUUUUGUCCAUUUUGAUGACAAGUAUUUUCGGACGGAGGGAGUAACAA